AACGGUAAGUACGGAAGGGCGGAACGUUGGUCACAUUAAAAAUUCAUUAAAAACUAUUUGACAGAAUGAAUUGUAACUUUACAUGUGUUUCACGACACGAAAUUUGGAGGUAGUAGUGCUAUUUUUUGAUACUGUCUGCGGCUUAGUUAUAGCGCUUUAAAUGUUUUCGUUUAAUGGCGUUUUGUUUGCGUGGCAAUGGUCCGAUUCCGCCCAAUUGCAUAAUCAAUAUCCCUUGAGUGCCAAGGAUAUCUCAACGCUUGCACGGACAGACGGGCAGUCACCCGGAUUUCAACUCGUCUCGUCAUCCUGAUUAUUUAUAUAUGUAUAUAUACAACCCAAUAUCUAUCUUGAUUAGUUUUGGGUGAAAAAAACUAUUAUACUUUGUAGCAACAUGUUGCCAAGAGGUCGAAAUAAAUGGAUCUCUUUUCACGAAUAUGGAAAGUCUGGUG